rnacentral:rRNA from 1 species
UACGAAGGGGGCUAGCGUUGCUCGGAAUUACUGGGCGUAAAGCGCACGUAGGCGGCUUUCUAAGUCGGGGGUGAAAUCCUGGAGCUCAACUCCAGAACUGCCUUCGAUACUGGAAAGCUCGAGUCCGGGAGAGGUGAGUGGAACUGCGAGUGUAGAGGUGAAAUUCGUAGAUAUCGCAAGAACACCAGUGGCGAAGGCGGCUCACUGGCCCGGUACUGACGCUGAGGUGCGAAAGCGUGGGGAGCAAACAGG